rnacentral:rRNA from 1 species
GACGAACGCUGGCGGCGUGCUUAACACAUGCAAGUCGAACGAAAAGAGGGAAAGAGCUUGCUCUUUCCGGAAUUGAGUGGCAAACGGGUGAGUAACACGUAAACAACCUGCCUUCAGGAUGGGGACAACAGACGGAAACGACUGCUAAUACCGAAUAAGUUCCAAGGGCCGCAUGGCCCAUGGAAGAAAAGGUGGCCUCUACCUGUAAGCUAUCGCCUGAAGAGGGGUUUGCGUCUGAUUAGCUGGUUGGAGGGGUAACGGCCCACCAAGGCGACGAUCAGUAGCCGGUCUGAGAGGAUGAACGGCCACACUGGAACUGAGACACGGUCCAGACUCCUACGGGAGGCAGCAGUGGGGAAUCUUCCGCAAUGGGCGAAAGCCCGACGGAGCAACGCCGCGUGAGUGAUGACGGCCUUCGGGUUGUAAAACUCUGUGAUCCGGGACGAAAAGGCAGAGUGCGAAGAACAAACUGCAUUGACGGUACCGGAAAAGCAAGCCACGGCUAACUACGUG